UACGUAGGGGGCAAGCGUUUGUCCGGAUUUAUUGGGCGUAAAGAGCGUGUAGGCGGCCUUACAGGUCAGCUGUGAAAACUCGAGGCUCAACCUCGAGACGUCGGUUGAAACCGUAAGGCUAGAGUCCGGAAGAGGAGAGUGGAAUUCCCGGGUGUAGCGGUGAAAUGCGCAGAUAUCGGGAAGAACACCCGUGGCGAAGGCGGCUCUCUGGGACGGUACUGGACGCUGAGACGCGAAAGCGUGGGGAGCGAACAGG
rnacentral:rRNA from 1 species